CUGAAUUCAGAAAACAUUAUUCCCAUUCUAAGCUUGCUGCUUGCCAUUGCCAUCUUCACAGGUGACUUUUAGAAUGUCAACCUAAAGAAGAAAAAGGACAGAGAGACAUUUGAAACAUUACUGGAGAAGGCCUUAGGCAAUCUAACCUCAGUUGGUGUAUAGGAACUGUUGAAUCAUGGCCUGAACCACUGACUGAUAACCUGAGGCAAGCACUGAGUCAGCCACAGGAAUACAGGUGAAGGUAAUUCAGCUGUGUGACCGGAAGUGGUGGAGCCUGGCUGCACUUCUUCUAGACCCCGUUUAAGGGCUGACUGCCCUUAGGAAAGGCUUUCCUUCUGGAGGUUGCUUCUUUUGGAGUUUUUCCAGUGAGCCUAUGACAUGGGUGGCAGCAGAGGGGCAGUCUAACAAUGCUUUCUGACAUAGAAGUGCGUAUGAAGCAAAGGUGUGGAACUGAAUACCUCUAUGCAGAAAAAGUAGCACCCAUUGACAUUCAUCAGUGUUUGCUGAAUGUUUAUGGACACCAACCAGUGGAUGUGAGCACAGCGAGGUGGUGGGUACUGCGUUUCAGCAGGGGACAAAAAAGACAGCAAGUCACCUCCACUGUUGCAGAUUUUUUUACAAUUGCAGCAUGCAGGCUCUUGCUCAUUGCUGGUGAAAAUGAGUAGCCAAUAAUGGUG
rnacentral:lncRNA from 1 species